rnacentral:tmRNA from 1 species
GGGGUAGUACCGGUUUCGACGGGGAUUUUGAAUCUGGAUAAGCCAUUCAUGUACCGUGCCAUGUAAAAAGACGGAACCUAAACAUAAACGCUAACGAUAAUUUAGCAUACGCAGCUUAAUUGCUGUGAGUCGGCCCGCUGCUUCCGCACGGCGGUCAACCGGCUUCGACUUUGCGGAGCCCUCCAUCGUCAAAGCUUUGAGGCCCUGGAAGAUUCAUGAAGCUACCAAAACAUGUGUACCUGUUUACCGGUCCGCAUUGAGGGAAUAAAAAAAGAUAAACUAUGAUGGUAGAAAGUUCGGUGGAUGGGUUUUCGGACAGGGGUUCGACUCCCCUCUACUCCA